rnacentral:rRNA from 1 species
CCCGCACAAGCGGUGGAGCAUGUGGUUUAAUUCGAUGGUACGCGAGGAACCUUACCAGGGCUUGACAUGUGCCGGAAGCGCACCGAAAGGUGCGUGCCGCUUGCGGCCGGCGCACAGGUGCUGCAUGGCUGUCGUCAGCUCGUGCUGUGAAGUGUUGGGUUAAGUCCCGCAACGAGCGCAACCCCUGCUGCCUGUUGCCACCACGAGAGGUGGGGACUCAGGCGGGACCGCCGGUGACAAACCGGAGGAAGUGGGGACGACGUCAAGUCAUCAUGGCCCUUAUGUCCUGGGCUACACACGUGCUACAAUGGCCGGUACAGAGCGCAACGAGGCCGCGAGGACAAGCGGAUCCCUUAAAGCCGGUCGCAGUUCGGAUUGAAGUCUGCAACUCGACUUCAUGAAGCUGGAAUCGCUAGUAAUCGUGGAUCAGCCAAGCCGCGGUGAAUACGUUCCCGGGCCUU